rnacentral:rRNA from 1 species
UAACACAAGAGUUUGAUCAUGGCUCAGAUUGAACGCUGGCGGCAGGCCUAACACAUGCAAGUCGAGCGGAAACG